rnacentral:rRNA from 1 species
UACGGAGGGUGCGAGCGUUGUCCGGAAUCAUUGGGCGUAAAGGGCGCGUAGGUGGCCCGGUCAGUCUUUGGUGAAAGCGCGGGGCUCAACCCUGCGUCGGCCAGGGAUACUGCCGCGGCUCGAGCACUGUAGAGGCAGGCGGAAUUCCGGGUGUAGCGGUGAAAUGCGCAGAUAUCAGGAGGAACACCGGUGGCGAAGGCGGGUCUCUGGGCCGAUACUGACGCUGAGGAGCGAAAGCAUGGGUAGCGAACAGG